UUGCUUCAAAGGAGAUAGCAGAAAAUGCUCUGGGGAAACAAGGAAAGACAGAAACAGGGUCUCACUAUGUUGCCCGGACUGGUCUUCAACUCCUGGCCUCCAGCAGUCCUAAAACCUUGGCCUCCCAAAGCAGAGCGUACAGAGCUAUGUGAGAAGCUUUCCCCAGACUCCUUGACUUUUCACGUGGGCAGAUCAGCCAUGGCCACAGUAGAGGAGAUGUAUCAAGGUAGCAAAGCUUGUGGAUUCUGGAAUCAGAGAGCUUGGGUUCAAAUUCCAGCUGUGUGUCCUUGGUACCUCACCCAGCUAAAGCUCACCAAGCUGAGAGCCGUAGGAGAUGUCAAGGUUCUGGCUGUAGCUCCUUGAUUGUUUCACUCUAUAUGUUGAAGACUGCUACGACAACCACCAGCCUGAAGACAUUUUCAGAUCACAGGUUGGCCUGCGUGAAGGGCAGGUCAGUUCUGAAGAGGUGAUGUUUCUGAAAUAAGCA
rnacentral:lncRNA from 13 species